AAUAUUGCGCAAUGGAGGGAACUCUGACGCAGCGACGCCGCGUGAGCGAUGAAGGUCUUCGGAUCGUAAAGCUCUGUCCUUGGGGAAGAAGUUCUUCGGACUCGACGGUACAUAUGGAGGAAGCCCCGGCUAAUUACGUGCCAGCAGCCGCGGUAAUACGCAGGGGGUCAGCGUUGUCCGGAAUUAUUGGGCGUAAAGGGUGCGUAGUCGGCCUUUUAAGUCAGAUGUGAAAGCCCACGGCUUAACCGUGGGACUGCAUUUGAAACUGGAGGGCUUGAGUAUCGGAGAGGGUAGUGGAAUUUCCAGUGUAGCGGUGGAAUGCGUAGAUAUUGGGAGGAACACCAGUGGCGAAGGCGACUACCUGGACGAAAACUGACGCUGAGGCACGAAAGCUAGGGGAGCAAAC
rnacentral:rRNA from 1 species